AGAACUGGAGUUUAUGGGCUGUGCUGUGAAGAAGGAGGAGUCUGUGCUGUGAGGAGAUACCCAUGAGAAAUCACCGAGGAAGUAUGGGAGCUUUGUAAUAAGAUGGCAACAACUCAGGAUUUGCAAUGACAGUCCAGACUUGCCUGACAUUUUUCAAAUGCAAGAUGAGUGCUGCCCCUGAGGCCUGGGCAGUCUUCCCUGUGCUGCUGGAACAAGGUGAUGAUCCAUUUGGGCAAGGUGCUGUGAGAGACCCUGUUCACAUCAAGAUGACUUAGAAGAGCCUGAGUGAGUGGGAUCUGAGGAAACUGGAGCUUGGUGGCAGUAGUGCCCAGCAGUGCAGCUGGGAAGACCCCAGGGAAUUGUGACUGAAAGGGGUAAAUAAAAUGUGGAUGCAGUGGAGUGUAAAAAGAUUUCUGGAAGAUGGGUUUUGGUACACUGCUGGUGUAACUGGAGAGCUUUGAAUGACUAGCUAAAGCCCAGAUUAUUGUAAAGGCACUCUGAUAAUGGAGUUAAGGGAUUAAGUGAUGUGGCAGCAGUGACAGGGGACACUUUGUGAUUAUUCUCAGCGUGUCGGCCAGAUGAGAAGAAAUGGAACAGGUGUGGAGACUGGAUAGGAGGAAACAGAUACAGGGCACUACACAAAUAAAGAAUUUAGAGGUGGAAAAAUUAAAGAGAUGGACUUUGUAAUUCCAGACAAUUCUUGAGUUACCUUUAGAAUUGAAAAACAGAGGCAGAGUUUGUGGGAUAGUUUAUAUCCUUCAGAAUAGAAUGUAUCAUUUUUUAAAGAUAUUUAAGUGACAUGCAGAUAUUUUUUGAGUAAAGUGAAAACCAGAUUUUGUAUACAGCAAGUUUCAGUAUGGUGAAUCUCUCAACUUUCAGGUUCCUGAAUAUUUCAGGAGGAAGGUAGAGAAAAGUGGACGACUGAUCAUGUGUUUCAAAUCAGUUACCUUUGAUAUGCUUUGAAGAAGGAGGGAAAGAAUAAAUGUCAACCUUCAAACAGGAGUUAAGCAUGAAUAGUCUGGGUAGAGGUAUAUGCCAAUCUUAUUGGGGAGGCAGCUGCCUCAUGUCUUUGCCAACAACAUAACUGACCAUUACUAGACAGUAUCUUGAUAAAAAGAACUCUCCUUUCGCAAUUCUUCUAUUUAAGUGCAUUUCAGGAGGCACAGAGAAGUGGAUGCAGCUGUGUUGAUGCUGGGAAAAAGAGGGGCAAAAAGGUAUUGUGAAUUCAUUAGCAAGCUCUCAAUCCUGCUUGGAAUAUACAAAUAUGCUGACAGGAGAGGGAGAAGAAAAUGUCGUGUGAGUUUUGGUUAGUCCUUGCCUGCAGGAUUGUAUCUACAAUCGCAAGUGGUCAGUGCUUCAAUUUUUC